rnacentral:rRNA from 1 species
AUUGAACGCUGGCGGCAGGCCUAACACAUGCAAGUCGAACGAGUGGCGGACGGGUGAGUCAUGUCUGGGAAACUGCCCGAUGGAGGGGGAUAACUACUGGAAACGGUAGCUAAUACCGCAUACCAUCGGAUGUGCCCAGAUGUGAUUAGCUAGUAGGUGGGGUAACGUCUCACCUAGGCGACGAUCCCUAGCUGGGCGGAGAGGAUGACGCGCCACACUGGAACUGGGACACGGCCCAGACUCUUACGGGAGGCAGCAGUGGGGAAUAUUGCACAAUGGGCGCAAGCCGGAUGCAGCCAUGCGGCGUGUAUGAAGAAGGCCUUCGGGUUGUAAAGUACUUUCAGCGAGGAGGCGUUACUCGCAGAAGAAGCACCGGCUAACUCCGUGCCAGCAGCCGCGGUAAUUC